GCAAGAAUUUGCCGUCGCAAGGUAAUAACAAUUGGCGACUGCAAAAAACUUGCCGUCGCGUUAUCCUGAUUAACUUUGCUCCGCCCUCUUUCUUCUUUCAGUUCUUUGAGCCCAUAACUCCAUCUCGAUCUGAUACCCCGAUGAUUACCCAGAUCUCCUCCUCGUCUCCUCCUCUUUCCAUCACCUCCUUGAGCUAUUUUCCUCUCUAGAUCUACCAAAUUCAGCAGAAUACAACCAACGACUAAAUGACCCGAUUUAGGUCAACUCCAUCGAGUUUAUCAGGAGAUCUACCAACCAGUCGUUCCUCAAGACGAGCUUGAGUCCACUUUAUCCAAGGCUAUUUACAAUCUAGAGAUGUCGAUGAUUAAGAAGAAGAACGACUGAGAGCUAGAGAGACAGAGACAUAGUGUGUGUUUGUUUGGUUUGUACGAAUAGAUAGACGGAUCAAAUGGAAAUUCUCUGCUCAUCAUCUGAAUACGGGGUCAACUGGGUUUUGAUUUCAUCUUAUUUUUGAGAUUUCGUUCCCACCUUUACUUCUUUUCUGAUUCAUUUUUUUCUUAUAUUGCUUUUGCAGGGAAGUUUGAGUAUCUUAGAGGCAAGGGUUGCGAAUUUGUAGGUAAUUGGGUUUUGAUAAUGUUAUGGGCACAAGCAGAGUUGAUGAGGAUGCUGAACCUGUUUUACAAUAUGGACACAGGUAGUGUAGCAAAGUCCAAUUUUCCUGGUUACUUAUCAUCCGAAGCACCAUCGUUACUAUCAAAUCACACUUUUGCCCCCACUGAUUUGAGAAGCUAUUCUUCAGAUUUUCUGCUUAGAGAUAAAUCGUUGGGGUCUGUGCCGUAUGGUGUAGAUGAUAGUGUGGGUAGUAGAGUUCGUUCUGAUUCGGGUGUUGGGGUGACAGCAGGGUCUAGCCUAUAUGAUCCUUUGGAAGAUACU